AUUCUUCAUUACUCAGACCGCUUGCCUUUACUUUAGAUACCGGUUGAGGGGUUGAGUUGAGUUCGAUUGCCGGCUGGAUAAAAGGUUGCAAUGUUUGUGUCUGAGGAUGAAGGAAAGCAGCACAAAAAGUUG
ensembl:ncRNA F35A5.12 ncRNA